GGCUGGUCUGAAGGUAGUAAGUUAUCUCGAUCGUUCAGUCACAGGUCUAACUGCUUAUUCUACUCUUUCCUCUCUUCUCACUACUGCAUUUGACUAAUCUUAA
rfam:Papio anubis isolate 1X1155 chromosome 3, whole genome shotgun sequence.